rnacentral:rRNA from 1 species
UACGUAGGGGGCAAGCGUUGUCCGGAAUCAUUGGGCGUAAAGAGCGCGUAGGCGGCCAGACCAGUCCGGUGUGAAAGUCACAGGCUCAACCUGUGAAUGCCGCUGGAAACUGUCUGGCUAGAGUCCGGAAGGGGCGAGUGGAAUUCCUGGUGUAGCGGUGAAAUGCGCAGAUAUCAGGAGGAACACCUAUGGCGAAGGCAGCUCGCUGGAACGGUACUGACGCUGAGGCGCGAAAGCGUGGGGAGCGAACAGG